AAACUUAGAUUUCAAUUCCUCUCUUUAAUGCCACUUCAGAUCAUGCCAUCAUUUGGAUAGAGAGAGAAGCUCAAAGGGCUCUAGAUGACAAUGAGUUGGUUCGGUUGAAGCAUGAAGCAAGGCUGAAAGGAGGAUUCUAUGUCAAGCCAGAGUCUAAGCUUUCGUUUAUCAUUCGUAUCCAUGGUGGGCGGUAAAGACACGCAAAUCAUAUAGCCAAGCUCAAAUUGACGAGGUGUGCAUUGAAGUGGCUGAUUAUAUACAGAGUUGGGUGUAGGACUUGUGGCUACGAAGAAAUUUUUGAGUAAGGCUAGCUAGUUUUUGCUUUGAAGGAAAGUUUGGUGUAUAUAUGUAGAACUGAUAUAGUUGGUUGCUAUUAUGUUUAUGGGCUAGCCUUUGUAGGUUUUGGG